CUCGAUGACACUUCUCUCUACCCUUCCGUCAAGUUGAUGUGGCGGCGUAUUGGAUAUGGCAGUGCAUCGACUACUCUUCGACUCCAUGUCUUUCUCUCUACCUAGUCUUGUGCCUAACAACUUCUUAGGAAUCAACAUUGUAUGUCCAAAAAAAACAUUUGGAGCAAAGCAAGGGAUCAAAGUUGCCAAAUCGAUCACUGCUGUCAUGCAUGCACGCUAGAUAUAUAAACGGUUAACAUGUCUGUGGGAUUCGAAUCAGAGAGAAACUUGUGGAACUGGAAUCAGAUAAGCGAUAAGUAUUCGAAACUGAAUCACUUUACACGUAUGUACUGUGUGGAAACUUGCUCUGUUAGUAACUACACGCUAUAUAUAUAUGAGAUCACAUUUUUGGCUCUGUGUGUACGUGGAGUACUGUUUCGUUCUAUUAGCUUAACUUUCCAGCAUUUCGUUUUGUAUCAUGUACAGGUGUAUAUGGUCUGUUAGUAACUGCAUAUGCGUUUCUGUUGUGUACGUAGAAAUUAAAAAAAGAGGCUUCAGCUAUAUACAAUAAUUUCAGAAUCUCAUCCAUGCUUUUAGAAUAUACCAUGUAAUAAUAAUAAGUACAAAUUUUAUCACUGUGUACAGGUGUAUUGUAUGGUUUUGGCAACUGAUCGAUUGCGUUUCCAUCGAGCAAAUAAAAAAGGAACCUUAAUAUAUUACUUGUGGAAUUGGAGAAUAGAAUUGGAAACCGAAACUUGCGGCGUGGAGGAUGACAGGAUGUGGCGUGGUUUGGCGGCCGGCUACGAACCAGGCACGCCCUUAAACCUGAAAACAUAGAAAAGAAGAAGGAGCACCUGGAGUAUAACGUUAUCGUAUGUCGUUAUAUUAACCUAUUGCCAGGUUUGCAAGGGUUUUUGUCCUUAUUCAGUCUGAUCACCGCAUUUGUGGAUCACACGUUGGAUCUAGAGUCAGUAUCUCAAUCCGGCUCUUUGCUGAGUGCCAGUGCCAGGUGAUUUGCCGAGUGUGUUUUCGGACACCCUACCGAGUGUAAAAAAACAUUCGGCAACACUUCUUUGUCGAGUGUUUUUUUUUCAACCCUUGGCAAAGAGCUUAUUUGUCGACUACUUUUUCUGAUACUAGACAAAGAAUUUCUUUGCUCAGUAUUUGUUUUUCGACACUAGAUAAAGAAUUUUUUUGUCGAGUGUUUUUUUCAACACUAUACAAAGAACUUCUUUGCCAAUUGUUUUUUUUUACACUAGGCAAAGGUAAUUUUCAAAUCAAAAUUUAAAGUAGUAAAUUGAUUCAAAUAAAAAAAUCAACUACAAAGAGUUUCGUUCUUUGCCGAGUGUUUUUUUCGAUACUAGACAAAGAGCUUUUUUAACGAGUGUUUUUUAUACACUAGGAAAAGGUAAAUUUUAAAUCAAAACUUAAAGUAGUACAUUAAUUCAAAUAAAAAAAAUUCAACUACAAAGUUGUAUAACUCAUCAAUAUGUAUGAUAUUUAUUUUGGUCAUUUCUUCAUAUGACAAAGUUAAAUUAAAUUUGUUCACAAAACUUAUAUACCGCUCUUGUUGUUUAUGAAAAUACAAGAGAGAUGUAUACGAUUUGUGAACAAUGUUAGAACCACCAUGUUAGAUGAAUAAAUAACCAAACAACCAAAAUAAUCUUUUUAGAUCUUAAGAAGUUAUAAAGUUUUGUAGUUUGCAACUUUUUUAUUUUAGGUCAUCUUGUCAAUAGAAACUAUGUCUGAAUUUAAAAAUAAAAUUCAAAUUUGUAACACGAUCUUGGAUGGAAAAAACACCAAAAUGAUAGUUGUAGGUAUCAAAAGUUAUGCAACUUUGUAGUUGACAUCUUUUUUAUUUGAAAUCAUCUGGUCAUGUAAAACUAUAUUUGAAUUCAGAAUUCGAAUUUUUCAAAAGGUCUCGGAUGGAAAAACCACAAAAAAAGUUGUAGGUAUCGAAAAGUUUAAUUUUAUAGUUGAAAACUUUUUGAUUUAAAAUGAUCUUAUCAUAUAAAAAUAUGUUUGAAGUUUUCAAAUUUAAAAUUCAAAUUUUAUAAACAAUCUCACAUGAAAAAACUACUAAAAUGAAAGUUGUAGGUCUCAAAGAGUUAUGCAACUUUGUAGUUAACAGCUUUUUCAUUUGAAUUUAUUUAGUGCCUCAAAUAAUCACUUUACUUAAAGUAUGUUACAAUAUGUGGAAAAGAAAAAACGUAAUUUAGACAUAAAUUACAUAGGGGUGGAGCGGUAGAAUAGGUUACACACGAGAGAAAUGUUGCGAGUUCGAAUCUCACCGCCCACAAAACACGUGAAUCCAAUUUAAAAACGGUGAAAAUGAUAGGACGAUAGGUAGGGCAAUGGCACUGCUAAUUAAAACAAAGUUUGUUGUUUUUUUUUUUUUGGUUUUUUGCGAUUCUUAAUUUAUCGAGUGCUUUUCUUUGAAAAAAAACACUCGGCAAAGAAUCUUUUACCGAUAAAAUAUUUGUUGAGUGUUCUGGGACACUCGAAAAAUAAGUAGAGUUGAUAGUAGUGGGUAUUAUUGGGCAAAGUGUUUCAUCACUGUUUCUACUAGCCAAAGGCAGCCUCGGGUGUAGUAGAUUUGGUAAAAAAGUGUGACAAUUACCAAACAUAUGCAAAAGAUUAGAAACAACCUUCAUCAUUUACUCACUUGAUUUAAUCAAUAUGGCAAGUAUAAAGGUGGGGUAAACGGACGAUAUAGGAAAUAUUCCCUAUAUGCCAUCAGAAUUUAUACUCAUCGGAUAUUCCCUAUAUACCAUCAGAAUUUAUACUCAUUUAUUAUAUGUCAUUGAGUGAUAUAUAUAAAAUUUUGUGUGUAUAUAACAUGUGGGGCUAAUGGCACACAAAGAUUGAGUAUAAUUUCGCAUGGCACACAUGGUAAACGGAUGAUAUAUAUGCCACUCAUGUAUGGAAAUAGAUUGAAACAUCCAUGGUCCAUGGAUGCCAUAUCUAAUACCGAAUUACCUAAGCAACAAUGAAAAAACCUUGCGAGAAUAUGGGCCUGCUCUGCUAUAGAGAUAUUUAGGACCUAUUUGAAAGCCCUCAAUUUUUAAGAAACUGGUUUAUAAAAACUGAGGUAAUUUUAAAUAUACCAGUUUGUCUCAGUAUAGAAACUGGAUUCUCAUCUUCUUAAAAACCAAACUAGUCUUUCCUAACUAAAAUUAUUUUGGAAAUUGAGAUGGUUCCAACUUACAAACACCAUUAAUCGUGUUUUUUUUUCACAAACUAGUUUCUAGAAACUAGAAACUUAUUCUCGCUUCUAAAUAUUAAAGGGCCUUACAGCGGUGCCAAUCAGAAUGUACAAAUAUAAUCGACCCUAAAACACAAAUUUCUAUAUACAUACGUCUAUACCCAAUCUCUCUAUUAUAUACUCACGUACGUGAGCAUGCUCCAGCAGUAGGAAAAACUCAAUAUAUAUGAAAUUAUGAAUAGAAGUAAAAAACUAAACUCAUUAACAAGUAGGUCCCAUACGUCAUGAUACAAAAAGGAUAUAAGAAUCCUUGAUGGCUUGGAAACUUAAACCUCUUCCAGUAUUGAAGAGAAAUGACAGAGAAUUUCCCUCCAAUCCUAAGAAAUUUGAGUUUCCAAACUAGAGCAUCUACGAUAUCAUCAAAAGUCAUUUUCAAAUGUUCCGUACCAAGUAUCUUUUUCAUUCAGUUAUAUCUCACAUCCUUCUCCAAUCUACUUUAAAUUUGGGGUGAUCUGCUUAAUUUCACCCUAUAUGUUAUUUGAGAUAAAGAAACUUUUGGGAGCGGAUAUAUGUGUUGAUGGAAUAUGAGAAACAAAUGUAUUUAGAAAAGACUCUUAGGGCUAGUUUGGGAACUACAUUUCCUAUGAGAAUUUUAUUUUCCCAAGGGAAAAUAAACUAAUUUUCCUUGAGAAAAUAAAAAUCCCUUAGAUAUGCUCUUAGUUUUAGUCCAUCAGUUCUAAAUUAUAAGCCAAUUUAGAUACUUACUAUUCUAUUCAUAAUUUAGGACCUACAGCAGUAGAAACCUUCUGUUUAUUUCUAGAGAUACAUAGCUACCUAUGUACCUAAAAAUCCAAGAUGGCUUAUAAUUGUAUUUAGAAUGCAGGAGAUGAUAUAUAUAUAUAGUAUAUAUAGUAUAUGUAUUUAGAGCCCUAGGCUCUAUUUAACUAUAGGAAGCCCCGACCACGUACCGACCAGGUGCGCGACCGCACCGGACCCUUUUUGGCUUAUUGUACCUAACUGCUUACGCCAAAAUAUAAUACGAGUUAUGCUGAUGUGUGUAUCAGUUUAUGCAAAUAUAGUCUGCGCAUAUUACGUGCAUCGGGCCCACGAUACGGCCCACGCCACCACUAUAAAAACACCCCCACGCCGCCAGGAAUUAGGUUUUAGCGGCGGCGGCGGUUCUCUAGGGCGUGCGAGCGGCGGUGAUCCUGGGGGCCAGCAGCGGUGUCACCUCGAGGCAGGCGACCGACGGCGGCGCUCCACCAGGAACGAGCGACAACGACGCUCCGAGGCAGGCGAGCAAGCGGUGACGGCGCUCUUGAAGCGGACGGACGACGGCAGCGCACCCUAGGCCCGGUGACAACGGCGGUUGUCCCAUCCGUCUCUGCGAUGGCCACCGCCACCGCCGCUCCAGCAUCUGUGGCGCGACGACGGAUCUGGGGACAUGCUCGCGACGGCGGAUCCCUGAGGCGCGACGGCGGAUCUGGGGACACGCUCGCGAUGGCGGAUUCCUGUGGCGCGACGGCGAAUCUAGGGACACGCUGCGGCAUCGGAUCCCGAGGGCACGCACGCGGCGGCGGCCCCAUGAGGUGCGCACGACGGCGAUGUGCCAGCGGUCGCGACGGCGGAUUUCCCUAGGUGCUAGCGACGACGGCAUCCUCCCCUAGGCACGAAGUGGUGGCGCAUCCCAGAUGCGAGGCGCUGGUUCCGCAGGACGGCGAUCCUAUUUUUAUGCUAUUUUGUAUACAUAUUUAUGCCAAUGUCAAUAGGAUUUUAUGACCUAUAUUUCAGUUCA